UACAGAGGUCUCAAGCGUUGUUCGGAUUCAUUGGGCGUAAAGGGUGCGUAGGUGGCGCCGUAAGUCGGGUGUGAAAUUUCGGAGCUUAACUCCGAAACUGCAUUCGAUACUGCGGUGCUUGAGGACUGGAGAGGAAACUGGAAUUCACGGUGUAGCAGUGAAAUGCGUAGAUAUCGUGAGGAAGACCUGUGGCGAAGGCGGGUUUCUGGACAGUUCCUGACGCUGAGGCACGAAGGCCAGGGGAGCAAACGGG
rnacentral:rRNA from 1 species